GGGCGGACCCGUGCUUCAUUCCUCCAUCAAUCACGGUCCCAAUCUGCGCUCCUUUUCCUUUUCUACCACACCCAUUACCCUGCCUGCCCUGCGCCCCCUGCCACACCAAGCGCGGAGAUGAAGGCAGAUCGGGGACGGGAUUGCGCCGAUUGACGCGCGCAUCGCGCGGAGAUGGCGUCGGCCUGGGACGGUGGCGGACGCGGCACUCGGUGCAGGCGCAGGCGGCGCUGGGAGACGGGCGAGCUGCCAGCGCUGCGCACCCCGAGCGCCGACCUCCUUCGAGUAGGUCCUCCUCCUCCCCCACUCCGCCGCCGGGGCCUGCGGGUGGAUCCUACAUCUGCGUCGCCCUCGCUUCCUCUUACGGCGCUCUGCCUCCAUCCGCCACACCCUCACACCUCCCUCGGCUACUCCGACGGUGCCCUGCAUCCAUCCGCGCCGCCCUCGCGACGCCAUCCCCGGUGACGGUGGCUGCGUUGAUGGCACGCCCUCGCGCCCGCGUUGCUCUCUGCGGCACAACCGUUCGCGCACAUCGGCCGCGCCUUCGACGCUGUCGCCGCCCUCUCCGGCCUCUUCCUCUUGUUCAAGCGGCGGCCAUGCGACCGGUGGCGAUUUCCUCCACCACGUCCGGCGUCCCUCCUCCCCCAGAAUGUCCAAGCCUCACCAUUGGUGUGCCGCAGCAGCUCCUCGCAGCGCAGCAUAGCGGCACGGGGAGGAUAGGGCUGGACAGUCGUGCGAAGAGGAGAGGGCGGCUGUCAUCCUGUUGAUGCCCCCAUCUCGACGCCCUAUCCAUCCUGGCGGCGGAUCAUCCACGCCCCCAUCCUUCCCCACAAGUCUUGACCUCAGAUGGGAUCACGGAGGCUCUGAAAGUAGCAGAGAUGAAUCAACACCAAUCAGGUCUGAUGUGGACCGAUGCCGGCAAAAAGGAUCUAGCGGAGCACACAUGUGGACCGAUGCCGGCAAAAAGGAUCCACUAGCACAUAGAUGUGGACCGAUGCCGGCAAAAAGGAUCCAACGGAGCAUGACCCUCUUCCAUCAAGCACCUACAGGUCUGAGUCCCUCCCAUCUCAGUUCUUGGCUGGUUUAGAAUUGCAAACAUUGUUCUUGAUCCUUUUGUUCCCCUUAACUGUAAAAAUUUGUGGAUUUGACUCUUCCCCUAAUAAAAUAUAAGCGUAGCAUGACCCUUCCCCUUCGAGCAUCUACAGGUCUGACUCCCCUGGGCCAAGCAUUUCGUGGAUUGUUCCAUUUUUUUCUUCUCUCAGUUCUUGGCUGGUUCCUCAAAGAAUCACAAGGAUUUUUUCUUUUUUUUAAUGGGUUCUUGGGAUUGAAAUCAUAGGUUCUUGAUGGUUUUGUUUCCCUGAAAAUAUAUGAAUUUGUGGAUUAGGCAAAUUGUUGUACACUUUGCCCUUAAGUAGACAUGUUCUGUUUUGUCAUCAUGUUUAGUUUACUCCAUAAUUCACAGUAUGGAGUACGAUGUGAUGCGAAUUGCAGAACAAUCUAAAUUGACAAAUGACAACCCGCAUGUCUACUUUUUUUUUCUUUGGUCCUGAUGAAUGGAGCUCCUCAGCUUGCAAAGUACUCAACGAAAUGGCUCUGGUGGUUUAAGGGUUGGAUGCAAAAAAAUAUAGUUCUACGCCUUUGUUUAUAGUAGGUCACCUCACAUAUGGAUGCAUUUGAAAGCUGGUUUUGGAUAAUGCAUUUGAGGUUAUGAUUGAUGUCGCAAAAGCUAUUUAAGAGGAACUUGGAAAGCCUUCUAUUGAAUUUUCUCAGUAUCUGUUGUCCUCGAGUAUGUAGCAUCUUUUGACAGACAUUGUUUGUUUGUGGUAGUGGCACAUUCCAGUUGCUUUGCACAUUACUUAGAUUGAUGCUGAUUUAAUGUAAUUAUGAAAAGUUAUCACUGUGACUGGGUGAUGCAUUUUAGUAUGAUUAGAGAGGGAGGGCGAGAGACACAGAGGAAGAUAGAAGGUCUGGUUUUUAUUUACUAAUUUUUAAUCAGUAUAAAUUAUUGUUUACCUAGACAAAUGCAGAACAAGAGGAAGUGCUCAUGAUCUUUUCGUGUUUAUAUGAUACAUAAGAAACAAAGGUGAGAGCAAAUUCACCUGAUAAUUAUAGCAUUUAAUGUCAUGCUGUUUCAGUUUGAAUAAUACAGUGCUAGGACCACAACUGGACCACAACUGGACCAGAAUUAAGCCAAGGCAAUGCUUGUGAUCCUUUCUGACAGGAUUCUGCAUAUGAUUAAUAUGCCACUCUCGAGUCUCUGGCCUAUCUAAAUUUACUGGAUGUAAAUAGUGUGUAGCAAGCCCUGUAAGUUUUUUUUCUUGUUGAACAUGCACAUAGCAACUGAUCAAAAUACUACCACUAUUUUUCAUUUUAAAGCCAUGGUAUCUUAAGUCUGAAUAUAGGUUGUGCUCCACUAAAACUGAUUGACUCAUUGCUGAAAAGAUAAUUGGAAAGCUCACAGUUACAGAAGCUCCUUUUUUUUCCUCAUGUGUACCUACACCUAUGUGGACUGUCAAUUAAAUUCCAGCUUCUGCUAUUUAUUUACAGAAGCUCCUUUUUUCCUCAUGUGUACCUACACCUAUGUGGACUGUCAAUUAAAUUCCAGCUUCUGCUAUUUAUUUACAGAAGCUCCUUUUUUCCUCAUGUGUACCUACACCUAUGUCUUAAAAUAGGUUCUCUUUGUCUGUGCUUAUUCUUAGGAAAUACUGCUCAUUUUUCAUGGAUAAAUGCUACUUCUCCUAUAAUGUCGAAUUGAAAAUAACUUCAUGUGUAUGUCAGCUUGUUGCUUGCCCAAGGAGCUUGUGACUUGCAGCUACUACUACUUGAUUCAAUAACCUUGAAUAACUGAAUCAUUUGUUCAGCUUCGAAGUUUUGAUUAUCAGAUGUUUUACUGGUCUCUUUUAUAUUUGUGAUAGGGCCUUGACUAGGAGGAAGAGGUUUGAGGUGUUGGAUGAGAAAGGUCUGAUGGUGGUGGCUAACAUUCCCGAAACUCAAGUAGAGCUUGUCGUUAUGAGUGCUAUAUUUAAGGUUACUUUAGUGGUAAACCAUGAUGGUAGCUAGAAGACUUUAUCCAUGUGAGGACAGUUGUCAAAUACAGUGUAAACCUGCUGAGAUAUAAUGAUUUUCUAUUUCUUGGAUUAUGUGUACCAUGCAAACUCCACUCAUGAAAUUUCCAUUCUACAUUGCUAUGUUAGUUCAUUUA